rnacentral:lncRNA from 1 species
CUUAAAAGUCUUGAAAUUGGCCAGGACUUUUGCCAGAUGUACUGGGAAAAAGAUGCUUUCCCUCAGCUACGAUGGUGGGGCAAGUCAGAUGUGCACCCAGGGCUCCUGGCAUCCCAUGGGGACAGGCUGCCUGAGAACCAAGCCAAUACAGAAGAAGGCAGAGCCAGGCGUGGGGCAGUAGAGUCGGUGACGCUGUUCGAGGACUUAGAUCCAGCCCUGCCUGACGCUGCCCUCGGGUCUUCAGUCACUUAAGAAGAUAAAGUGGAAUGGUUAUUUAACAUCACUAUGAGUUAGGUUUCUAUAAUUUGUACCUGAAACAGUCCUCAGUGAGCCAUUGAGGCACUCUGGCAUACACGAUCACAUGACUAGCUACAUGUGUAAAAGUUUCAUCAACAUUUAAAGGAUGUUUACAUUAUCCUGAAACCCAACAGAAUUUCAAGUGUGCUUAAUCAGGAGGGCAAUGUAUGAGCUUUAGGAAAUACUGAUGUCCUUUAAAUUUUAUGGAAAAAAAUAUUCAGGUGUAUAAGGGUCUAUGGCAGAAAUCAACUUAAAAAUUACCCACUCCAAACUUCAGUAUCUGAGACAGAAUAGUACAGAGGUAUUUAAGUUUUUUUUUUUUAAUUCCUUUUUUUUUUUUUUUUUUUUUGAGACAGCAUCUUGCUCUGUCACCCAGACUGGAGUGCAAUGGCGUGACCAGGGCUCACUGUACCCUCAACUUCCUGGGCACAAGGAAUCCACCUCCCAGUCUCCUGAGUAGAUGGGACCACAGGCAUGCACCAGGAUGCCCAGCUGAUUUUUUUUAACUGUUUUUUAUACAGAUGGGGUUUCACUACGUUGCCAGGGCUGGUCUCGAACUCUUAGGCUCAAGCGAUCCUCCCACCUUGGCCUCUCAGUGUGCUGAGAUAAUAGGCAUGAGCCACCAUGCCUGGGCCCUUGAAUUCUGAAAUUUGAAAAACUUGUACUGCCGUGCCUAUUUUUAGGCUGACAUAAAGUUUUCAUCCUCAACUACACAAUUUCUAAGGAUACAAUUUUCAGCAUAUUGUAAACAUUAACAUUUUAAAAUAAAACUUUCACAUCACAGUUUUAAAUGGAAUCUAGCAAUCUGAUAGCCAUCAUUCAUUUUAAAAAUCCAACAGCAAGUUAUUUUUUAAGAACUGAAAAUGUUAUAUUAUUCUCUCACAUGAGAAAGGGGCUUAAAUGCCCUGUUUCUGGCACCAAGUUUCAACACGUAAAAGACAAAAGGGAAAGAGGCAACCAUGUGGCAUUGCUGUGAUUAGAAGGACCUCAACAUACCAAUUUCAAAUAGUCCCUUUGUUAGGUGACCCUUGAGAUUUUCAUACCCAGAGCAACAUGCCAGAAUAAGACUAGUUCUGGCUAAGAGAUGUGCCUUUAUAAAAUGAGGGAGGACAGGGCCUGGUGCAGUGGCUCAUACCUGUAAUCCCAGCAGUUUGGGAGGCUGAGGAGGGUGUAUCACCUGAGGUCAGGAGUUCGAGACCAGCGUGACCAACAAGGUGAAACCCCAUCUCUACUAAAAAUACAAAAAUUAGCCAGACGUGGUGGCAGGCGCCUGUAGUCCCAGCUACUCAGGAGGCUGAGACAGGAGAAUUGCUUAAACCUGGGAGGCGGAGGUUGCAGUGAGCCGAGAUUGCGCCACUGCACUCCGGCCUGGGCAACGGAGCGAGACUCUGUCUCAAAAAUAAAUAAAUUGAUUAAUUAAAUAAAAAUAAAAAUAAACAAAAUGAGGGAGGAUAACCAUGAAAGGAGGAUUGGGAGAACCGUGGACCAGACAGGGAUCAUCUCAGGCUGAUCAAUUUCAGGGAAGGGCACAUAUGUGAGGCUGGAGAUGUGAAAAUUUAUUUUCUUAGAAGUAUCCACAUCUGCAUACUCCAUGAAAAGUCUUCAUGUAUUUCCCAGGGGUAUGUAUAUUUCCAGUAUUAGGACACCUGGGUUGUUGGAUUAUAGGACAGAGAUUAAAAGCAAAUAUUCUGAAAACAAAAUUCAUUUCCAGUCU